UACGGGGGGGGUAAGCGUUGUUCGGAAUUACUGGGCGUAAAGGGCUCGUAGGCGGCCAACUAAGUCAUACGUGAAAUCCCUCAGCUUAACUGGGGAACUGCGUGUGAUACUGGAUGGCUUGGAUUUGGGAGAGGGAUGCGGAAUUCCAGGUGUAGCGGUGAAAUGCGUAGAUAUCUGGAGGAACACCGGUGGCGAAAGCGGCUUACUGGGUCUCUUCUGACGCUGAGAUACGAAAGCUAGGGGAGCGAAGGGG
rnacentral:rRNA from 1 species